UGCAGCUUGCACAGAAGGUAUGGGAAUGGCAUUACUGCUUUAUUCUUUGCCUUGGUCUACACAGGAAUAAAGCAAGGAAGAAACUGGUGCCUAAGGUCACACUGAUAAUAGAUGAAGUGAUGGAGCAAGGAUUCAACUGCCAGCAGUUUGGUUCCUCAGCCUACUCCACUAAUUUCCAAAGUUACUCAGAUCAGCACUUUCCUCGCUCCUCUUUCAGGUUUCAUUCCAUUCCAUGGGUUAGAAAGGGGCACACUCCUGGCACACUGGACUGGGCUGCCUCCCUUGCUGCUAUUCCCUGUCAAAGUCCCUGUGGUGGAUGCACAGUGAUGCUCAUGGUGAAGCUUAUACCAGGAUGUGGG
rnacentral:antisense_RNA from 1 species